rnacentral:rRNA from 1 species
CCUACGGGGGGCAGCAGUGAGGAAUAUUGGUCAAUGGACGAGAGUCUGAACCAGCCAAGUAGCGUGAAGGAUGACUGCCCUAUGGGUUGUAAACUUCUUUUGUAUGGGAAUAAAACGUUCCACGUGUGGGAUUUUGUAUGUACCAUAUGAAUAAGGAUCGGCUAACUCCGUGCCAGCAGCCGCGGUAAUACGGAGGAUCCGAGCGUUAUCCGGAUUUAUUGGGUUUAAAGGGAGCGUAGGUGGAUUGUUAAGUCAGUUGUGAAAGUUUGCGGAUCAACCGUAAAAUUGCAGUUGAAACUGGCAGUCUUGAGUACAGUAGAGGUGGGCGGAAUUCGUGGUGUAGCGGUGAAAUGCUUAGAUAUCACGAAGAACUCCGAUUGCGAAGGCAGUUCACUGGACUGCAACUGACACUGAGGCUCGAAAGUGUGGGUAUCAAACAGGAUUAGAUACCCGUGUAGUC